GAGUUUGAUCCUGGCUCAGGACGAACGCUGGCGGCGUGCCUAAUACAUGCAAGUCGAGCGAGCUGAACCAGCAGAUUCACUUCGGUGAUGACGCUGGGAACGCGAGCGGCGGAUGGGUGAGUAACACGUGGGUAACCUGCCCUAAAGUCUAGGAUACCACUUGGAAACAGGUGCUAAUACCGGAUAACAACAAUAGCUGCAUGGCUAUUGCUUAAAAGGCGGCGAAAGCUGUCGCUAAAGGAUGGACCCGCGGUGCAUUAGCUAGUUGGUAAGGUAAUGGCUUACCAAGGCGACGAUGCAUAGCCGAGUUGAGAGACUGAUCGGCCACAUUGGGACUGAGACACGGCCCAAACUCCUACGGGAGGCAGCAGUAGGGAAUCUUCCACAAUGGGCGAAAGCCUGAUGGAGCAACGCCGCGUGAGUGAAGAAGGUUUUCGGAUCGUAAAGCUCUGUUGUUGGUGAAGAAGGAUAGAGGUAGUAACUGGCCCCUAUUUGACGGUAAUCAACCAGAAAGUCACGGCUAACUACGUGCCAGCAGCCGCGGUAAUACGUAGGUGGCAAGCGUUGUCCGGAUUUAUUGGGCGUAAAGCGAGCGCAGGCGGA
rnacentral:rRNA from 1 species